ACAUAUCUAUAGACAUAUACGUACAUACACACACACACCUACACAUACAUACACACAAAGCAACUGGGAGUGGCACUAACAGUUUAGGGUAGGGAUAAAGAAAGGCUUCAUGUAGGACAGGCAUCAGUGAACUAUGGCAAGCCAGAUGUGGUCCUUGGGCCAUAAUCUGCCAACCCUUGACAUAGAUGGUAUAGCACAUAAGCUGAACCUUGACAGAACAGCAGAAUUCUACAAGGCAGAGGGGAGAAGAAAGUGCAUUCCAGGAAGAGGAAACAAAGAUGGAAUACCGUGUACAGGAAUGUACAGUUUGACUAGAACACAGAGUGCAUGUAUAAUGAUCUUGGAAUGGUUAGCUGGAGCCAAAGGAUGAAGGUCUUUAAAUGGCAGAGACAUUUGCAUUUUCUCCUGCAGGGAGCAGCAGGGAGCCACCACCAGAGGUCUCUGCGCACAAAACUACACGCUUGGAUCUUGGCUUCAGAAUAUGGCUUUGACAGUUAUGUGGAAGAUGAACUAGAAAGAAGAGACUGGGGAGAGACCAAUCAGGAGGUUAUUUAAGUAGCCCAGCAAAAUGGUUUCAUGGAUGGUGCUAGACGUGGAGUUACAAAGACCUGAGUUCGAAUUCUAUUUAAGAUACUUUUUAGUUUCAUGACCCUAGGACAGGCUGUUGAUGUGUGUGUAGCCAUGUAUGUAGCCAUGACUAACUGUGUGGCCUCACAAUCUCAGUUUUCUCAUUUGGAUAAUGGAGAUAAUAACUGUUCCUACUUCACGUGGUCAAGUGAGGCUCAAGUGAGGUCAUUUUAAUCUAUCCAUGAAGAAAGAGGCAUAAUUGAGGAGCUAAGUUCUUCCCUGGCCUCUCAUUCCACCACCUUCCUGUAAGUCUUUACCAAAGACUUACAAAUCUAUUCUAAUAUCUUUACCAAAGCCUUUUAUAGCAAUGUUGUAUCCUUGUGAGUCAGGGAAGUAAAGAGAGAACUAUUCGACAGGCUGGAGGCUCAUCAUACCUGUUUUAGGGGAACCUACGAAAAUUGUUAAAAUUACUAAACUAGAACUGCUCAGGAUUAGUACUUCAUAUCUGGUCAGUUCAUGAAAACCUUCUGAAGACCAUUAAAUCUUCAUUAAAUUAACAAACUGAUUUGCAAAAAAAAACAACCUAAAAAUUAGUCAUGACUUGAACUUUUCCCAAUUUAUAAAUGCUUAAUGAAGUAAUAAUGUGCCUAUCUUCCUCCAUGAUGAUGUUCUUCUUGUUUUCUUUUUGUUUAGAAUAUACCUCUGUAUAUGCAUGCAUACAUACAGACAAUUUAAUUUUUGAUGAAUUCUGAAAGGUCCUGCAGGAAAAAUUGUGAAGUUGGGAUUCUAAUUGUUACUACAAAGAACCACAGGUUUAAAUUUAGUUCAGGUAUCAUAAGUCACUGUAACAGUCUGUCAGUUCACAAAGUUUUUUUCAUCAGAUUCAACAAACUAUAAUUAAGAAGUAUGGUUUUGUAUGAAUUCAGGAUAGUCACAAAGUAUUAAAUAAAAAUAAUCAGUCUUACACAUUGCAUACACAUAUACACAUGUAUAUGAACAGCUAUAAUUACAUAAAGAUCUGCAACAUAACUAUAUAUGUAUACACACAUAUAAACACAUAAUUCUGUAAUACAAAUGUUCAGACUGACAACUAGUGUAAGUAAAAGACUCACAGGGAAAAAACUAAAACCCAUCUAUUGAAAAAUACUGCUUUAUGGAAAUAUAA